ACGGGUGAGUAAUAUAUCGGAACGUGCCCAAUCGUGGGGGAUAACGUAGAGAAAUUUACGCUAAUACCGCAUACGAUCUAAGGAUGAAAGCGGGGGAUCGCAAGACCUCGCGCGAUUGGAGCGGCUGAUAUCAGAUUAGGUUGUUGGUGAGGUAAAAGCUCACCAAGCCGACGAUCUGUAGCUGGUUUGAGAGAACGACCAGCCACACUGGGACUGAGACACGGCCCAGACUCCUACGGGAGGCAGCAGUGGGGAAUUUUGGACAAUGGGCGAAAGCCUGAUCCAGCAAUGCCGCGUGCAGGAAGAAGGCCUUCGGGUUGUAAACUGCUUUUGUACGGAACGAAACGGCCCUUUCUAAUAAAGAGGGCUAAUGACGGUACCGUAAGAAUAAGCACCGGCUAACUACGUGCCAGCAGCCGCGGUAAUACGUAGGGUGCGAGCGUUAAUCGGAAUUACUGGGCGUAAAGCGUGCGCAGGCGGUUAUAUAAGACAGUUGUGAAAUCCCCGGGCUCAACCUGGGAAUUGCAUCUGUGACUGUAUAGCUAGAGUACGGUAGAGGGGGAUGGAAUUCCGCGUGUAGCAGUGAAAUG
rnacentral:rRNA from 1 species